AUUGAACGCUAGCGGGAUGCCUUACACAUGCAAGUCGAACGGAGUGGCGAACGGGUGAGUAAUGUAUCGGAACGUGCCCCGUAGCGGGGGAUAACUACGCGAAAGCGUAGCUAAUACCGCAUACUAUUGGAGCGGCCGCUAUCGGAUUAGCUAGUUGGUGGGGUAACGGCUCACCAAGGCGACGAGCCGUAGCUGGUUUGCGAGGGCGACCAGCCACACUGGGACUGAGACACGGCCCAGACGACUACGGGAGGCAGCAGUGGGGAAUUGUGGGCAAUGGGGGAAACCCUGAUCCAGCCAUUCCGCGUGAGAGAUGAAGGCCUUCGGGUUGUAAAGCACUUUUGGCAGGAAAGCGGUACCUGCAGAAAAAGCACCGGCUAACUACGUGCCAGCAGCCGCGGUAAUUC
rnacentral:rRNA from 1 species